GAGUUUGAUCCUGGCUCAGAACGAACGCUGGCGGCGUGCCUAACACAUGCAAGUCGAACGGGAUUAGGGGCUUGCUCCUAAUCUAGUGGCGCACGGGUGAGUAACGCGUAGAUAAUCUGCCUGACGAUCUGGGAUAACACUUCGAAAGAGGUGCUAAUACCGGAUAAGCCCACGGGCUCUUUGGAGCUUGCGGGAAAAGGUGGCCUCUAUUUAUAAGCUACUGUAUCAGGAUGGGUCCGCGUACCAUUAGCUAGUUGGCGGUGUAACGGACCACCAAGGCGACGAUGGUUAGCUGGUCUGAGAGGAUGAUCAGCCACACUGGAACUGAGACACGGUCCAGACUCCUACGGGAGGCAGCAGUGGGGAAUUUUGCGCAAUGGGGGAAACCCUGACGCAGCAACGCCGCGUGAGUGAUGAAGGCCUUUGGGUCGUAAAGCUCUGUCAGAGGGGAAGAAAUGAUAUAGUGCUAAUACCACUUUAUCUUGACGGUACCCUCAAAGGAAGCACCGGCUAACUCCGUGCCAGCAGCCGCGGUAAUAC
rnacentral:rRNA from 1 species